rnacentral:lncRNA from 1 species
UCUCAUUCUAAAAAUAUAUAUUUUAUAUAAAAUAAAUUAUUCAUGUUAAACAUAUUGUGUAAAUAUGUUAACUUCAUAUGACAUGUUUAAUAAUCAUGUUAAACAGAUAACACGUUUAAUAAAUAGAUUCGUGAAUAUAUUAGAAAAUCUUGAUAUGUUUAUUAAUUAUGUCGUGUUCAUAUUCUCCAUAAUUAUAUUCGUGUCAAAAUCGUGUCGAUACGAUUAUAGCACGUGAACAUAAAUUACCAUCCCUAGGUUUUAUACGAGAG